rnacentral:rRNA from 1 species
GUCUGUUUGAUAUUAUUUACAGUCUGGCCUGCCCACUGAUUCUUUUUAAAAGGCCGCGGUAUAAUGACCGUGCGAAGGUAGCAUAAUAAUUAGUCUUUUAAUUGAAGACUGGAAUGAACGGUCGGACAAAAAGUAAUCUGUCUCAAAUUUAUAAAUUGAAAUUAACUUUUAAGUGAAAAGGCUUAAAUAAACUUAAAAGACGACAAGACCCUAUAAAACUUUAUAUAGUGAAUAUUAUCUUUAAUUUAUAAGUCUAACAAAAAUAAUACCAAACUAUAUUUCGUUGGGGCGACGAAAGUAUAUUUAUCUAACUGCUUUUUCUUAUAAACAAUUAUAUUUGAUUAGUUAUGACCCUUUAUUUAAGAUCUAAAGAAAAAGUUACUUUAGGGAUAACAGCGUUAUUUUUUUUGAGAGUCCAUAUCGACAAAAAAGUUUGCGACCUCGAUGUUGAAUUAAAGUCCCAUUAUAAUGCAGCAAUUAUAAAAGGAGGUCUGUUCGACCUUUAAAACUUUACAUGAUUUGAGUUCAAACCGGUGUAAG